rnacentral:rRNA from 1 species
GUGGGGAAUCAGGACUGUUACUUUGAAAAAAUUAGAGUGUUUAAAGCAAGCUUUAAGCUUGAAUAGAUUAGCAUGGAAUAACGAAAUAGGACGUUUGAUCCUAUUUUGUUGGUUUCUAGGAUCGACGUAAUGAUUAAUAGGGAUAGUUGGGGGCAUUAGUAUUCAAUUGUCAGAGGUGAAAUUCUUGGAUUUAUUGAAGACUAACUACUGCGAAAGCAUUUGCCAAGGAUGUUUUCAUUAAUCAAGAACGAAAGUUAGGGGAUCGAAGACGAUCAGAUACCGUCGUAGUCUUAACCAUAAACUAUGCCGACUAGGGAUCGGAUGAUGUUAAUUUUUAAUGACUCAUUCGGCACCUUACG